rnacentral:rRNA from 1 species
UACGUGGGGGGCAAGCGUUGUUCGGAAUUACUGGGCGUAAAGGGCUCGUAGGCGGCCAACUAAGUCAGACGUGAAAUCCCUCGGCUUAACCGGGGAACUGCGUCUGAUACUGGAUGGCUUGAAUCCGGGAGAGGGAUGCGGAAUUCCAGGUGUAGCGGUGAAAUGCGUAGAUAUCUGGAGGAACACCGGUGGCGAAGGCGGCAUCCUGGACCGGCAUUGACGCUGAGGAGCGAAAGCCAGGGGAGCAAACGGG